rnacentral:lncRNA from 1 species
CAAAAUCCGUAUCAUAUGUCGUAUCAUCCCGAGACAUCAAUAUCAGCCCAAGGGCCUUUAGGCCCGAGGGAUGAUAUUGGUCGAGGGUGAUACGGCAUGUGAUACGGAUUUUGCCAUGUAUUAUACACUUUAUCAUAUAUUUCAACAGAAGAGUAUUAUAUUAUAUGAACUGUUUUCUGAUCCAUAGCACUGGGUUACCUUCAGUUCUACUUUUGUCUUGUUUCAAAGGCCUUAAAAGAACUGCUCAAUUACUUAUCUCGAAGUAGGGGUGUGAUAAAGGGUAGGGGUGUGAUAAAGGGUGUGCGAUAAAGGGUAGGGGUGUGAUAAAGGGUAUGCGAUAAAGGGUGCGCAUCAAAGUUGCGCGAUAUGGAUUAAACAGCAGGCUAUUUAUCACAUAUGCAAAACUACUGUAUUUACUACUAAACAUAUGAUAAAUAUAUAUAUAUAGAAUGAUA